rnacentral:rRNA from 1 species
UAUCAAAAACAUGGUUUAUAGGGUUUAAUUUUAGUCAGGCCUGCUCUAUGAUUUAAAUUAAAUGGCUGCAGUAAUUUAACUGUACAAAGGUAGCAUAAUAAUUAGUUUUUUAAUUGAAAACUAGAAUGAAUGGUUUAAUGAGAUAUAGGUUUUAUUAUAAUAAUCAGUAGAAUUUUAUUUUUUAGUGAGAAAGCUUAAGUUUUUUUAUUAGACGAGAAGACCCUAUAGAGUUUAAUAAUUAGUUUAAUAAUUAUAAUUAGAAUUUAAAUUAAUUAUUUAAAUUUAGUUAUUUUAUUGGGGUGAUAGUAAAAUUAAAUUAAUUUUUAUAAAAAUUAAACAUUUAUUUAUGAAUAAUUGAUCCAUUAUUAGUGAUUAUUAAGUUUAAUUACCUUAGGGAUAACAGCAUAAUUUAUUUGGAAAGUUCAUAUUGAUAAAUAAGUUUAUGACCUCGAUGUUGGAUUAAGAUAAAUUUUAGGAGUAGAAAUUUAAAUAUUAGGUCUGUUCGACUUAUAAAAUCUUACAUGAUCUGAGCUCA